CAACCCUCACGCACCGCGUGGUUUUGGGGGACGGCAGCGGCCUCACGGUCUCGCCGCCCCCGAAUUACAGUGGCGGUCACGCCGCAGCACCCUCUGCGUAGUAGCACACCUCGCAUAGGGACGCGGCGCGUCUAGCCAUAAAACCCCAACUUUUUUGU
rnacentral:misc_RNA from 1 species